GUCCGGGGGAGGCGUACCCUCUUCGUAGGUGUCAGGUCUCCGAAAAUCACAUCCUUCGCUGACUUCCCGGUCCAGAAAACCCUGAUCGCAAAUUAGGUUACCUCCUAGAAUUUCGUUGAUGAUCGUCCUCCUUCAAACUCCCGAUGGAGAUAUCGUCCUUUUCCUGAAAAAGUAGAUGAAGGUCUCCUCCUCUUUUGUGCUCUAGCCAUCGCCCUGCCGGAAAACG
rnacentral:lncRNA from 1 species